CACCGAAUUUCCGUCUCUUUUCGUUUUUUCCGCUUGACAGCUUUAACCUGUGUCUCUUUGAAUCUUUGACUACCUCAGCCACUAUCGAAAUUAAAAAGUCAGAUAUGCAUUUAGCCGACGACACGCAAGCCUAAGAUUGCACAUAAAAGUACACAUGAUCUUAUCGUAGAAACUUUUAGGAAUGAAACUUCUUUAUAUGCAUGAGAAUGGGAUUUU
ensembl:ncRNA K04D7.14 ncRNA